rnacentral:rRNA from 1 species
GUGGGGAAUCUUGCGCAAUGGGCGAAAGCCUGACGCAGCGACGCCGCGUGGGGGAAGAAGGCCUUCGGGUUGUAAACCUCUUUCAGGUGGGACGAAGCCACUCGGGUUAAUAGCCCAGAGGGUGACGGUACCGCCAGAAGAAGCCCCGGCUAACUACGUGCCAGCAGCCGCGGUAAUACGUAGGGGGCAAGCGUUGUCCGGAUUUAUUGGGCGUAAAGAGCGUGUAGGCGGCCAGGUAGGUCGGUUGUGAAAACUGGAGGCUUAACCUCCAGACGUCGACCGAAACCCCCUGGCUAGAGUCCGGAAGAGGAGAGUGGAAUUCCUGGUGUAGCGGUGAAAUGCGCAGAUAUCAGGAAGAACACCCGUGGCGAAAGCGGCUCUCUGGGACGGUACUGACGCUGAGACGCGAAAGCGUGGGGAGCGAACAGGAUUAGAUACCCUAGUAGUCC